CAAAAUUGCAAAUCUCUCGCCGUCACCUCCUCACCUUGUCGCCGCCGCCACUGGCCUCCUCGCUGCCACCGCCACUCGUCUGAGUCCUCGCCGCUGCCGCCACUGCACCGGAGAUCCAAGCUCGUCGACAUCUUCUUCGAAAGCUGGUAUCCUCGCCGCCGCUACCGCCUUUGGUCUCCAUCGUCGCCGCCGCUGUCGCCUCCGGUCUCCAACGUCGCCGCCGUAGCCACGCCGAUCGAGCUUCCGCAGAGAGAAAAGUGCGUAAAGCAAGAGGAGCUACAAAUUGCAGUAAAAUGAAAAAGAAGAAACCAGAGGAUGAGUCUAUGUUAAUUGAGUUCGAUGACAUGCAUAGGCCUAUUGGCCCAAAUGCAAGGAAGUAUGCAAAUUACCUUGGCUUUAUGGUUCGUAUUCACAUAAACAUUAACAUUGCUGAAUGGCGUCAAGUCUCUAGCGGGGUUAAAGAAACGGUUUGGCAGGAUCUUAAGAAAGAGUUUAAUAUCUCUGAUAAAGAAAGAAAUAAUAUUUUGGACCAUACGUGGAUACGUUGGAAAGAUUUCAAGACAAGAUUGGUGCGUGAAUUCAUCAACAAAAAGAACCCAAAAUAUAGCUCUCCCUGUGAGUUAUAUGACUUCUUGACUGAAGAACAAUGGGAGAAAUUUGUAAAAUACCAUGAAACUGAAGCCUCUAAGGCCAAAAGUCAAAAGUAUAGGGAGUUGCAAGCGCGAAAUGAGCAUCCCCACUAUUUAGGGUCUAGGGGCUAUGUUGGAAGCGAAUCUGAGUGGUUGAUAUGCGACCCAUUGUCUUCACAAUCUUCUUGUGCUGCUAUUACCUCGACCAUAACAUCUACUGUCAACUGUUCGUAGUUUGGAUUGGGUUCGAGCGCGAUCUAAAAAAUCUGAAGAUGGAAGUUAUUACAUUCCCAAUGAAAAAACGAAGGGAGUGGUUGAUAAAACUGUAAGUCGAGAAGUAUGAAGAGAUAAGUUAAGGCUCAUUCCAACCAAAAAGGCAAAAUGGUAUAUUGACAGCAGCUGCGCUCUUGGCAUCAAUGAGUACGGUGGUUUUGUGAGAGGUGUUGGAGUGCACUCCAAUAUUCAGGAUGUGUUUGGUAAACCGUAGAGCAUAAGUCUUGGAAAUUCAGCUGGGGUUGUUUCAGUUAGUGAUAUGGAGAAGAUCAUAGAGAAGAAACUAUAUGACAAAGUGGCUGAAAAGAUUAAAAAACAAACAAUGGAUGAUAUGCAAUCCAAGUUUGAAACGAUGCAAUCUCAACUAGAAUAUUUGAUGAAGAAUGCACAAGCAAGUCCAAAGGUUGGCACACCAUCUCGAAGCAGUUGCCAAUUGCCAUUCUAUUGAUCGAUUAAACAAGCUUAAGGAAAAUCCAAAACAAACAAGAAUGAUGCAUUUUGAAAGUGGUGAUCAAUCUACUGUAGAAUUACAACCACUUCUUGUUGAUGAUGAUACACUGCAGCAAUUGGAUGAAUGCAAACAAUUGGUCAGACAUCUUAGAAACUUGCCAUCCGAUUUAGAUUACAUUGACGUGGACCUAGAGGAGGCAAUCUUCCAUCAUGUAGAUCGAUGUGGAGUUCAUUCACGUGAUGUUUGAUGAUGUUAAAGAAAUGUUGAUGAUGCAAUGGCUUGAUGUGACCAUAUUACAAAUAUUUAUAAUAUGUAUUCAUCGGAUGUGCGGAAAAAUUAGAGUUACUACAAUUGGAUUUCUCUGCCCAAGGACUAUUUCUAGGAACCGUGUAGUUGAGAAUACUGAUAAGGUCACAAAAUAUCUUGUUCGUGCCCUGGAUCAACAGAAGGAUCGAAACUUCAUUUUAGCUCCAUACCAUCAAGAGGCAUUUUGAUCGAUUGCAAAUUUAGGAGGAAGAAGACCUAAAAACAACGUUGAUUGGAAUCCAAUUGAGUGUCCUCAACAACCGGGUUCUGUGGAGUGCGGGUAUUAUGUGAUGAGAUACAUGUAUGAAAUAUGCACUCUAUAUUGUGAUUUUGAACUUUUAGACACGGCAUUUGAUAGAAAGCCUUACUCACAAGAGCAAAUUGAUGAGAUUCAUGAGGUUUGGUCUAAAUAUUUUGUUGAAGAAUGUAUAUAAAUUUUUGAACUCUUAUUUAGUUAAUUUUAAUGAUGUAUUGUUGGUACUUAGCUAGCUUAUUACAUGUAUGUGUUGCGAACUUUAAUUUCAAGUGUUGAGAACUUUGAAGUGCAUGUUGAUAUUGUUGUGAAUGUAUGGAUUAAAGUGCUAAAGUGUUGAAGUUUAGUUUA